rnacentral:rRNA from 1 species
GUAGAACGCUGAAGAGAGGAGCUUGCUCUUCUUGGAUGAGUUGCGAACGGGUGAGUAACGCGUAGGUAACCUGCCUUGUAGCGGGGGAUAACUAUUGGAAACGAUAGCUAAUACCGCAUAACAAUGGAUGACUCAUGUCAUUUAUUUGAAAGGGGCAAAUGCUCCACUACAAGAUGGACCUGCGUUGUAUUAGCUAGUAGGUGAGGUAACGGCUCACCUAGGCGACGAUACAUAGCCGACCUGAGAGGGUGAUCGGCCACACUGGGACUGAGACACGGCCCAGACUCCUACGGGAGGCAGCAGUAGGGAAUCUUCGGCAAUGGGGGCAACCCUGACCGAGCAACGCCGCGUGAGUGAAGAAGGUUUUCGGAUCGUAAAGCUCUGUUGUAAGUCAAGAACGAGUGUGAGAGUGGAAAGUUCACACUGUGACGGUAGCUUACCAGAAAGGGACGGCUAACUACGUGCCAGCAGCCGCGGUAAUACGUAGGUCCCGAGCGUUGUCCGGAUUUAUUGGGCGUAAAGCGAGCGCAGGCGGUUUGAUAAGUCUGAAGUUAAAGGCUGUGGCUCAACCAUAGUUCGCUUUGGAAACUGUCAAACUUGAGUGCAGAAGGGGAGAGUGGAAUUCCAUGUGUAGCGGUGAAAUGCGUAGAUAUAUGGAGGAACACCGGUGGCGAAAGCGGCUCUCUGGUCUGUAACUGACGCUGA